rnacentral:rRNA from 1 species
UACGUAGGGCGCAAGCGUUGUCCGGAAUUAUUGGGCGUAAAGAGCUCGUAGGUGGCUUGUCGCGUCUGCCGUGAAAGACUCGGGCUUAACUCGGGUUCUGCGGUGGAUACGGGCUGGCUAGAGGUAGGUAGGGGAGAACGGAAUUCCUGGUGUAGCGGUGAAAUGCGCAGAUAUCAGGAGGAACACCGGUGGCGAAGGCGGUUCUCUGGGCCUUACCUGACGCUGAGGAGCGAAAGCGUGGGGAGCGAACAGG